rnacentral:lncRNA from 1 species
UGGACGGUGAUAAAGUGGCGCAAGUCCUUUCUAGAGACUCGAACUGUAACAAUGAACUGGAUCUAGAUGAUCCAGAGGACCUUGAAGAUCUUGGAGAUCUUGGAAAAUCAUCAAAAGUCGCAUAAGGAUCUCGCUCGUCUGUGUUAUUAUUUCUUCGGCAUUUCUUCUUAGGUUGAACGUGAAAUAUUACCAUAAAUGAUCCAUUUAAACGUACCCGUAACGUUUUUUCUCUCGAUGUGAAUAACACUUUCCGUUUCCGAAUCGGAGCCCAACCAAUAAGUCGUCCCACUAUGAUCGGAAUCACUCUGCAAAUCGUCGGAGGUUUCUUCGAAAAUGGUUUCUAAAAAAUCUACUUGUUGUACUGGCACUGCGUCUGCAAUUACAAAUGAUUCUUUUAUGUAGAACACGUAAGUAUGUCGAAUUUUUAAAAUAGCGUUAAGUAAAUGGAAUAGAACUAAAUCUAUUGUAAAUUUAUGAGCUGUAUAAUAAAACAAACAUUUAUGAUUCUUAUCAAAAUUCAGCUCUUUCUUUUACCACUCAAGUAGAAAUUUUAUGAAAGUUUUCAUAUAAUAAAAAAGAUACAUUCAAAAGAUAAUAACUUUUGCAUUUAUCCUCGGUCGAUCAUUAAAUACGAGUUAUUUGUACGGAAAACUAUCGCUCGGUUUUUACUGCCAAGUCAAUUAAAUGUCUAAAGAGUAUAUCAAGAACGGAAUUUCAUAAAGGCUUAUUUCAUCGAUCGAUCGAUCGAUGAAAUAAUAAACCUGUAGAACGAACGUUCAAAUAAUUCAUUCCGACAUAUUUACAUUACUUGCAAUAGCGACGUGAUAUUUUGUUCAGAAUAAAACGGCAACAAAAAAACUUGAUCUAUCGAUCGCGGAAAAUCCUUGAAAAAUAAAGAUCCUCCCACGAGCGAUAUAGUUGAAGUGAUCAUCAAAGGAGUAUCUCGUAGAAGAUAGAUGGUAUGAAGAAAGAAGGGAAAGCGGUCUUGAUCAUGAAAGCAAGAAGGUUGUUCCGUAUUAAGUACUGAAUAAAAUGAUGUAUGAGUAUGAGCGAGAUGGAAAUAGAGAGAGAGAAAGAGAGAGAAAAAAGAAAGAAAGAAAGAGAAAGAGGAGGAAGAGAGAAAAUAGAAGUAACUGGUAUAAGAACGGAUAGAAGAGGAGGUGCGAGAAAAAGAGACAGACAGAUAUAAAGACAGACAAAGACUAA